rnacentral:lncRNA from 1 species
AAAAAACAAAAUAUUUUUCUAAAUUUUUAUUUUUUCAAAUAUUUUUUUAAUGUGAUGUAAACAUAUUUCAUGACUUUUUUUUUUUUUGAAACACAAACAUAUUUCAUGACUGUUGCUUUCUUUCAUGACUGUUGCUUUCUUUUUCUAUUCUAAAAACUGAGUAUUAACAAAAAUAUGGACCUUAUAAAGCAAGAUAAAUUUUUUUUUUCAAAAAUAUGAUGUAAGCACAUUUUCAUGAGUUUUCUUUUUAUUUUGUG